GGUCCCACCUGCCCAGUGACCCUUUUAAACGGCCGCGGUAUCCUAACCGUGCAAAGGUAGCAUAAUCACUUGUCCUCCAAAUAAGGACUAGAAUGAAUGGUCAAAUGAGGACUAAACUGUCUCUUACAUCCAACCAAUAAAACUGAUCUUUUAGUCAAAAAGCUAAAAUAAGCCCAUAAGACGAGAAGACCCUGUGGAGCUUAAAACCAAGCCCACAAUUAUGUUCCCUUGGUUUUUAGUUGGGGCGACUUCGGAGUACAAGGAAUCCUCCAAUAUGGAUCAGUGCUAAGAAUAACAUAUCAAAGCAUAAACCUCCCAGACCCAAUAUCUUCCAAUAAUUGAUCGAUGAACCAAGUUACCCCAGGGAUAACAGCGCUAUCCUCUUCUAGAGUCCAUAUCGACAAGGGGGUUUACGACCUCGAUGUUGGAUCAGGACACCCAAAUAGUGUAGCCGCUAUUAAAGGUUCGUUUGUUCAACGAUGAAAGUCCUA
rnacentral:rRNA from 1 species